CCUACGGGAGGCAGCAGUGGGGAAUUUUGGACAAUGGGGGAAACCCUGAUCCAGCAAUGCCGCGUGUGCGAAGAAGGCCUUCGGGUUGUAAAGCACUUUUAUUCGGAGAGAAAUCCCUUGGGCUAAUACCCUGAGGGUCUGACGGUACCGGAUGAAUAAGCGCCGGCUAACUACGUGCCAGCAGCCGCGGUAAUACGUAGGGCGCGAGCGUUAAUCGGAAUUACUGGGCGUAAAGCGUGCGCAGGCGGUUUUUGUAAGACAGAUGUGAAAGCCCCGGGCUCAACCUGGGAAUUGCAUUUGUGACUGCAAGGCUAGAGUGUGUCAGAGGGAGGUGGAAUUCCGCGUGUAGCAGUGAAAUGCGUAGAGAUGCGGAGGAACACCGAUGGCGAAGGCAGCCUCCUGGGAUAACACUGACGCUCAUGCACGAAAGCGUGGGGAGCAAACAGGAUUAGAUACCCUGGUAGUCCACGCCCUAAACGAUGUCAACUAGUUGUCGGGAAUUAAAUUUCUUGGUAACGCAGCUAACGCGUGAAGUUGACCGCCUGGGGAGUACGGCCGCAAGGUUAAAACUUAAAGGAAUUGACGG
rnacentral:rRNA from 1 species